UACGGAGGGAGCUAGCGUUAUUCGGAAUUACUGGGCGUAAAGCGCACGUAGGCGGCUUUGUAAGUUAGAGGUUGAAAGCCUGGAGCUCAACUCCAGAAUUGCCUUUAAGACUGCAUCGCUUGAAUCCAGGAGAGGUGAGUGGAAUUCCGAGGUGUAGAGGUGAAAUUCGUAGAUAUUCGGAAGAACACCAGUGGCGAAGGCGG
rnacentral:rRNA from 1 species